rnacentral:lncRNA from 1 species
UUUCAGAUGUGAUUCCGUUGUCCAAGAUUCUUAAGAUGAAAACAAAGUUGAUAUCUCACUCACUUCGAUUUGAUGCACUUUACCUUCCAUAGCAAAUAUUUAUUACAUCCGACAAGACAAAGGCAACGGGCAGAAAAGUGUACAGCCAUUUCUGUCACACUGAGAAUCAAGCCUGGAUUGCCUCCAGUGAGAAGAUGAUACAGGACUAUUAUAAGGACAAGAUUUUUCAGGAUAAGACACAGUUCUCAUGUGUUCAGACAGAUUGCUUUUCAAAUCACUCUGUAUAGGGAUGGGUUAAACCCAGCUCUAAAAUAAAUAUUUAUAUGCCCUAAAGUUUCCAACUAGGAAGGCGGAAAGGCUCAGAUAUCAAUGACCAGCAUGGGCAGUGACAUGGGUGAAAUGUGGUGUUGCUGGCAUCAAAUUUUCUCAGCUUUCAACUAUUCUCUGUUUUUCUAGAGGAUUGAAUACAUCCUGAUAUUUGAGAACCAGUUGUUAGGCAAUGCAUUUGAAUUAUUAAUAAGAAUGAAGAGGUAACCAUGGCAAGAGAGGAAAAAAAUAAAACUAGCUCUCCAGGUUGCGGAGAUGGUACCUGCAAACUGCUAAGAUACAUAAAAGCAAGGGAAUACAACUUAGAGCAUAGAUGCUUAAAUGCACUUCCUUUCUCUCAUCCACUACCUUAAAGGUAGCAAUUAUGCUUUAUGUGUCCAUGAUAACAAAUGUCUUCUCCAUUCAUCUGUGGCUAGUAGCUUACAAGGCAAAGAUUGCACACAAGGUGACAGGUUUGCUCUCCUCCCUUCCCCACCCCCACUCCCGCACAUCCCCCUGUAAGAGGGACCUCUCAUCCACGUCUCCCAGAGAUUACUGCAAUUAGCAUGUUUCCUAUCAACCCUUCCUGUAAAUCUUUGGUUCAAGGAAGUUUCCUUCCAUCCCUCACCUAGAAGAAAGUAGACAAAAACACAGGCUCAGCACUUUCCAAGUCAAAAAAUAUAGUCAGGUCCUCACCAAACAUGGGCAAUUCUCUGCUCUUUAUCUAUGCAUUUCCUCAACCUUACAUUGACUCAAGGAAGAUAUGCUUCCCCUUAGGAGAGCCAAGUGAGUUAAAAACCAUUGUCAUAGUGUGCCCAAGUGUGAAAAUUAUUAAAGUACCCUUUUGUACAGCUCCUGGAUGAGAGGAGACAAUAGCUGGUGGGGCUGGAGUGCAGGUCUUUAAUCUUCUAUAGGAGUCACCCGUAAAAUUUGAUUCGUUCAAUAGAAGGGGUGCUGGAGUACCUGCUAGAAGUCAGGCCCACCCUGUGCUCUGUACUUGUCUGUACUUGACACACAUUUCUCUU